AAAUUGAAGAGUUUGAUCAUGGCUCAGAUUGAACGCUGGCGGCAGGCCUAACACAUGCAAGUCGAACGGUAACAGGAAGCAGCUUGCUGCUUCGCUGACGAGUGGCGGACGGGUGAGUAAUGUCUGGGAAACUGCCUGAUGGAGGGGGAUAACUACUGGAAACGGUGGCUAAUACCGCAUAACGUCGCAAGACCAAAGAGGGGGACCUUCGGGCCUCUUGCCAUCAGAUGUGCCCAGAUGGGAUUAGCUAGUUGGUGAGGUAACGGCUCACCAAGGCGACGAUCCCUAGCUGGUCUGAGAGGAUGACCAGCCACACUGGAACUGAGACACGGUCCAGACUCCUACGGGAGGCAGCAGUGGGGAAUAUUGCACAAUGGGCGCAAGCCUGAUGCAGCCAUGCCGCGUGUAUGAAGAAGGCCUUCGGGUUGUAAAGUACUUUCAGCGGGGAGGAAGGUGUUGUGGUUAAUAACCGCAGCAAUUGACGUUACCCGCAGAAGAAGCACCGGCUAACUCCGUGCCAGCAGCCGCGGUAAUACGGAGGGUGCAAGCGUUAAUCGGAAUUACUGGGCGUAAAGCGCACGCAGGCGGUCUGUCAAGUCGGAUGUGAAAUCCCCGGGCUCAACCUGGGAACUGCAUUCGAAACUGGCAGGCUUGAGUCUUGUAGAGGGGGGUAGAAUUCCAGGUGUAGCGGUGAAAUGCGUAGAGAUCUGGAGGAAUACCGGUGGCGAAGGCGGCCCCCUGGACAAAGACUGACGCUCAGGUGCGAAAGCGUGGGGAGCAAACAGGAUUAGAUACCCUGGUAGUCCACGCCGUAAACGAUGUCUACUUGGAGGUUGUGCCCUUGAGGCGUGGCUUCCGGAGCUAACGCGUUAAGUAGACCGCCUGGGGAGUACGGCCGCAAGGUUAAAACUCAAAUGAAUUGACGGGGGCCCGCACAAGCGGUGGAGCAUGUGGUUUAAUUCGAUGCAACGCGAAGAACCUUACCUGGUCUUGACAUCCACAGAAGAAUCCAGAGAUGGAUUUGUGCCUUCGGGAACUGUGAGACAGGUGCUGCAUGGCUGUCGUCAGCUCGUGUUGUGAAAUGUUGGGUUAAGUCCCGCAACGAGCGCAACCCUUAUCCUUUGUUGCCAGCGGUCCGGCCGGGAACUCAAAGGAGACUGCCAGUGAUAAACUGGAGGAAGGUGGGGAUGACGUCAAGUCAUCAUGGCCCUUACGACCAGGGCUACACACGUGCUACAAUGGCGCAUACAAAGAGAAGCGACCUCGCGAGAGCAAGCGGACCUCAUAAAGUGCGUCGUAGUCCGGAUUGGAGUCUGCAACUCGACUCCAUGAAGUCGGAAUCGCUAGUAAUCGUGGAUCAGAAUGCCACGGUGAAUACGUUCCCGGGCCUUGUACACACCGCCCGUCACACCAUGGGAGUGGGUUGCAAAAGAAGUAGGUAGCUUAACCUUCGGGAGGGCGCUUACCACUUUGUGAUUCAUGACUGGGGUGAAGUCGUAACAAGGUAACCGUAGGGGAACCUGCGGUUGGAUCACCUCCUUA
rnacentral:rRNA from 7 species